GACAUCUCAAGAAAAACACAACGUUUCGGUUAUGCGCGCCAUGCGCACAAGCAGUGUUUACAAACUGUUUGAUUUGAUUGAAUUCAGACCGGCCAUCAUUAAUUUGUAAUUCAUUACGAUAAUUACACGCCGUGUUCUGGGCCCGCGCGUGUACCAACGUGUAUUUCGAAUUGAUUCGGCCGAAGUUACAGUUAUUCGCCAAGUGUAACACUACACUCGUGUUUCGAUGCACAACAACGCAGUCACUAAUUAUUUUCUACGUCACAUUUAAAAAUUGAGUAUUUACAUCAUUAUGGUCACGGUUAAGGAUAUUAUAUUAUACGGUAGGGGUUCCGCCUAUGCGUGGCUCUCGUCGUCGUGUUAUGCAUAGUUAAUAAUGUAAACCACUGGUGACAUUGCGUGUGAUUUCCAUUACCGUAAUAAUAUUUCCGUCCGAUAAGCGAAACGCACACCAACAUGACCGUAUACCUUUAUUGAAGAUGACAUGGGUUCUGCGGUGACCAAAAACUUGCAGGCGAAUCGUUUGUCCAACUUCCCAAUUCCACACAACAAACGUUGCAUAAUACGAUUAACUAUUGCUUCAACGUUUAAUGAUGAUGAACUAGUAGGAAAUGUUUUAUUCAAUCUGUCGGCGCGAAUCUGAUCCUUGUGAUAAAAUUACUAUACGUGCCUAUAAUACUAUCCGUCGACAAGAGAGAUAGAAAAUGAAUAUAGAUUGCAAAUAAAUAAGACGACUAUGGUCUUAAGCUUAUUUAUUUUAUUGAUGUUAAAUUAAUUACCAUACACGUAUUAAUAAACAUUUUUAUCGAUUUAAAUACAGUCGGUUUAUAUGACGAGAAAAAAAAAUAGCAAGAAACAAACAACAAAUUGUUGUUAAUAAAGGGGUUGAGUUAUUACGCAUAUGAAUGUAUAGUGUUUGUAUUCUAAUUUAUUAUUUAUCAUACUAUUUUUUCCUUAUUCCGUGACGUUGUUAAUAAAUAGUAGUUAUGUACCUAUACCUAACGACUAAUGAAGUUACCAGUUUAGCUUACCUAUUCAUAUAUAACAUAAUAUUUAUAUCAUCAAUUUGUAUUUUUAGUACAGUUUAAUAAUGCUCGUACAAUUGAAAAUAAGUGAUUUGCGUUAAAUGAAAGAGAUAAAAGAUAACAAGAGUUUGUGGAGUUGUCCCGAUCAGAUUCAAAUAAUUCCACCGAUAGUUCUGAGGAUAGAAAAUGACACACAAUAUUAUUAUGAAUAGCGUGUACAGGGCCUUGUAUGUUUGGCUGCAAAAUAAAAGGUCGUAUUUUAGAAUGUCUAUUAAAAAUAGCUAAAAACCUAACUUUUUUUUAAAUAUAUAAAACGUAAUAUUUUAAGGGAUGAUUUAUAACAUAAUUUUUUAUAAUUAAUUAUACAACAAUCUAUUGUAUAUUUAAAUAAACAUGUAAUAACUUAUUUUUUAAUUCUAUAUUGUAUUAAAUUUAAUUUAAUUUUAAAAAAAUUCGGUGAAUGGCAAAUAUUAACGACACGGUAGAUGACAUACUAAACCAAAAAUAUGACGGUAGAUAAAUCACAACUGAAUCUUAUUAUUUUUAGCGGUCUUUAAUAGUUCCUGUGCUAUUCGAUACUCUAUGUCGAUUUCAAACUAAGCAGCGUCAUCGCCUGCAACACCGUCUGAAUGUACGAUAAUAACCUACUCAUCGCUUACUGCAUAAGAAUGUUGUUUCGUUGUACUUAACUCUAACAUUUGGCGCCUAACUGGUUUCGGGUUUUCACAGUAAGCAUGUAUGUACUUAUUUCGAUUUCAGCAUAUCGUUUGAAAUUGAAACGUAUUUCAUAAUUUUAGAUACCCAUGAGGCAUAACUGUUCGGCACAGACGUGAUCUACUAAAUAUAAUCUUAAAAUUGAAAAAAAAAAGUAGUAACAACCGAUUGUACGAGACUACUUAUUUUAUACAAAUAGAACACCCAUUAGAAAUUCAAGUAAUUUAAAGCGACGAUCAAUAUGUGGUCAGUGAUAAUCAAAAAAUACACCUACCUAUUAAUAAUCAUGUAUGAAUUUACAUUUCCCAUAAACGUGUCACAAUAAAUUAUACGUUCACCUUUUGUAAGCAAUAUUAAUUGCUGUCAAUAAUAUAUUGUUAGGUUUUUUUUUCAUAUUUAUUUACGUGUAAUUAUGAAACACUAAUUUUCAACCGUGUUUUCAUAAUUAAUUUUUUACACUUUUUAACAUCAUAUUAUUAUUUGAAAGUUUUGUGACGGUCCACGCAUAAAAAUAAUGUCCGAGUACGACGGACGGUUCCUGCCGCACCUGAUGGCGAGGUGAUAAAAUUAUACCUACACGAUUAUACUAUGGAGCGAUAACAAACAAGUACCAUACAAAAAUAUGCUUUUGAUAUUAUACUGAGCUGAUAUACCUAUUCUCUAACGUGAUAAAACGCUAUGCAUAAAUCGCGACGCUUCGGUUUAAAACUACAACAACUCAAAUAAAUUGGAAAAAUUAUCAUUUACGCUAUGAAUUUUCUUAAAAAUGAAUAAUAUAUUAAUAUUAUUCGAUUUUGAUUAUGUAGUUACAAGUGCAAUAAGAAUUUAGGUUUUCUACGAGAAAAAAAUGUUAUUUACAAUAGUUAUAAAAAAGUUAGUUUUAUUUUUAAUAAUGAUAAAACCUAAUUCCUAAAUAUUUAAUAGAUUUUCGAGUUUUCGUAGUUUUGAACUGCAGAGGCGCUGCAUGCGAUAAACGAAAUCGACAAUCUCGUGUGUCCGGUCAUAUCGGUCGCGCGGUGCAUACUCAUCCCUUUCAGAAAGAUCGCAUUUAUAAUAUUAUAUCGUGAGGUGAUAUAACUACGCUCAUCAUUCGUUAAAUUCAGUCGUCCGAUGCGCAGGCGCGUUUGCCGCAGCGCAGGAUUUACCGCACGCACGUACCCGAGUU